AUUGAACGCUGGCGGCAGGCCUAACACAUGCAAGUCGAACGAGUGGCGGACGGGUGAGUAAUGUCUGGGAAACUGCCCGAUGGAGGGGGAUAACUACUGGAAACGGUAGCUAAUACCGCAUACCAUCGGAUGUGCCCAGAUGGGAGUAGCUUGUAGGUGAGGUAACGGCUAACCUAGGCGACGAUCCCGAGCUGGGCUGAGAGGAUGACCAGCCACACUGGAACUGAGACACGGUCCAGACGCCUACGGGAGGAAGCAGUGGGGAAUAUUGCACAAGGGGCGCAAGCCUGAUGCAGCCAUGCCGCGGGUAUGAAGAAGGUGUUCGGGUUGUAAAGUACUUUCAGCGGGGAGGCGUUACCCGCAGAAGAAGCACCGGCUAACUCCGUGCCAGCCGCCGCGGUAAUUC
rnacentral:rRNA from 1 species